rnacentral:rRNA from 1 species
GCAGUCAGAGGCGAUGAAGGGCGUGCUAAUCUGCGAUAAGCGCCGGUAAGGUGAUAUGAACCGUUAUAACCGGCGAUACCCGAAUGGGGAAACCCAGUGUGACUCGUCACACUAUCAUUAACUGAAUCCAUAGGUUAAUGAGGCGAACCGGGGGAACUGAAACAUCUAAGUACCCCGAGGAAAAGAAAUCAACCGAGAUUCCCCCAGUAGCGGCGAGCGAACGGGGAGGAGCCCAGAGCCUGAAUCAGCAUGUGUGUUAGUGGAAGCGUCUGGAAAGGCGCGCGAUACAGGGUGACAGCCCCGUACACAAAAGCGCAUGUGCUGUGAGCUCGAUGAGUAGGGCGGGACACGUGGUAUCCUGUCUGAAUAUGGGGGGACCAUCCUCCAAGGCUAAAUACUCCUGACUGACCGAUAGUGAACCAGUACCGUGAGGGAAAGGCGAAAAGAACCCCGGCGAGGGGAGUGAAAAAGAACCUGAAACCGUGU